rnacentral:ncRNA from 1 species
AAAAGUUUUAUCCUAGCUGGUUCUUUCAUUAUUAGGUUAAUGGCACAUGUAAAAUUUAAUGAGCCAAUGUAAUUUAUACAAGCUAGAGGAGUAUGAAUUAGAAAGAGGUAGGGGCCUCCGUUGAAUAGUAAAGUCUCAGUGCCUGGUACUAAUUAAAUAAAUGUAAGUUGGAAUUGAUGAUCCUAAUAACACACCUGGCUAAAAUUUGUGCCAGCAGCCGCGGUUAUACUGAGAGGUGGAUUGAAAGAAAGUUGGUUAAAAAUAGUUAAAUGUUAAUGACUAAGAACUUUUUAGAGGUUUGUACCGAUAAAGGGUGAAAUCAAUUUUUUGGUAUACAAAAAUCUAAUAUUUUUAGUUGAAAUUGAAGCUAUUAAAAUAAAGGAAUGAACCAGGAUUAGAUACCCUGUUACACUUUAUGUAAAUUAUAACAUUACCUGGGUAUUAAACAGUAAUUGUCUUGAAACUCAAAGGAUUUGGCGGUAAUUUAGUCUAUUUAGAGGAACCUGUCCUGUAAUCGAUAGUCCAACGAGAAAAUCUUACUUUGUCUGGUAGAAAACAGUUUGUAUACCGUCAUUAUUAGAUAACUUUAAUAAAAUAUAAAGUUGUUGCAAGAGUUUAGCUAAUAUAUUAGAUCAAGGUGCAGCUUAUGAUAAAGGAAGAGAUGGGUUACAAUAUGACAAAUAUAAACGGAGUAAUAAGUGAAUACUUGUUGCUGAAGGUGGAUUUAAAAGUAAGAAGAUUUUAAUAAGAUCUUUUGACUCUAGCUCUAGGUUAUGUACACAUCGCCCGUCGCUCUCGUUAAUUAAAGCGAGAUAAGUCGUAACAUAGUAGGUGUACUGGAAAGUGUACCUAGAAAUU